GGAGGUUCUCGGGUGACGCACCCCAGAAUCAGGCUCCCUCCUCUCUGGUUCCUGGUACAUCACCUGAGAACCGCA
rfam:Myotis lucifugus cont2.43379, whole genome shotgun sequence.